rnacentral:rRNA from 1 species
UACGAAGGGGGCUAGCGUUGCUCGGAAUCACUGGGCGUAAAGGGUGCGUAGGUGGUGAGGCAAGUUCGAUGUGAAAUCUCCGGGCUUAACCCGGAAAUGGCAUUGAAGACUGCCCCGCUCGAGGGUCGGAGGGGAGACUGGAAUUCUCGGUGUAGCAGUGAAAUGCGUAGAUAUCGAGAGGAACACCAGUGGCGAAGGUGAGUCUCUGGACGACACCUGACACUGAGGCACGAAAGCUAGGGGAGCAAACAGG